UGGGGAAUUUUGGACAAUGGGCGAAAGCCUGAUCCAGCAAUGCCGCGUGUGUGAAGAAGGCCUUCGGGUUGUAAAGCACUUUUGUCCGGAAAGAAAUCCUUGGCUCUAAUACAGUCGGGGGAUGACGGUACCGGAAGAAUAAGCACCGGCUAACUACGUGCCAGCAGCCGCGGUAAUACGUAGGGUGCAAGCGUUAAUCGGAAUUACUGGGCGUAAAGCGUGCGCAGGCGGUUUGCUAAGACCGAUGUGAAAUCCCCGGGCUCAACCUGGGAACUGCAUUGGUGACUGGCAGGCUAGAGUAUGGCAGAGGGGGGUAGAAUUCCACGUGUAGCAGUGAAAUGCGUAGAGAUGUGGAGGAAUACCGAUGGCGAAGGCAGCCCCCUGGGCCAAUACUGACGCUCAUGCACGAAAGCGUGGGGAGCAAACAGGAUUAGAUACCCUGGUAGUCCACGCCCUAAACGAUGUCAACUAGUUGUUGGGGAUUCAUUUCCUUAGUAACGUAGCUAACGCGUGAAGUUGACCGCCUGGGGAGUACGGUCGCAAGAUUAAAGCUCAAAGGAAUUGAC
rnacentral:rRNA from 1 species